rnacentral:rRNA from 1 species
GAUGAACGCUGGCGGCGUGCCUAAUACAUGCAAGUCGAGCGAACGGACGAGAAGCUUGCUUGUCUGAUGUUAGCGGCGGACGGGUGAGUAACACGAGGAUAACCGACCUAUAAGACUGGGAUAACUUCGGGAAACCGGAGCUAAUACCGGACAAUAUUUUGAACCGCAGGGUUCAAAGGAGAAAGACGGUCUUGCUGUCACUAAUAGAGGGAUCCGCGCUGCAUUAGCUAGUUGGUAAGGUAACGGCUUACCAAGGCAACGAUGCAUAGCCGACCUGAGAGGGUGAUCGGCCACACUGGAACUGAGACACGGUCCAGACUCCUACGGGAGGCAGCAGUAGGGAAUCUUCCGCAAAGGGCGAAAGCCUGACGGAGCAACGCCGCGUGAGUGAUGAAGGUCUUCGGAUCGUAAAGCUCUGCUAGUUGGGAGGAACAGAUGUGUGAGUAACUGUGGACGUCUUGACGGUACCUAAUCAGAAAGCCACGGCUAACUACGUG